rnacentral:lncRNA from 1 species
CUAUGAUAUGAGGUCUAUACACAAUUAAAUGUAAGUAUUAAUUGUAUUAUAAUGAAUGAUUCCUGCUAGGGUCCUUCAGUUCUAUAUUUUAUAUACCAUUUUCUAUAAUCUUUAUCUGUUUUGCUCAUUAUUCUCUAUUCUUUGUAUUUUAACACACCAUCAUUCUCUUAUUAUCAGUGUUUUCUUAAUCUUUAAUGUCUCAGCCUUUAAAUUUUGCACUUUUGCCCAUAGGGAUUAUUACAUGAUUGAUUUAUCUAUCCUGUAAACACAAUCCAGACCCUCAGUUUAUGUGAAUAUAAAUAUAAGUUUUCUGGUGUAUUUAGUCACACACACAAGGAAAUUAUCAGACAAUUUGUUACCAGAUAUGGGGCAGUUUAAGAUAUAUGCAUGAAAAGAAAGUGAAAUCAAUGUUUUUUUUAGAUAAAAGCUUGAUGAUAUAACACAAAUAUAACAGUGCUGAAUAUGAAAACCCCAUGCCAUGUCACAUGUAACUUUUGGAAUGCAGAGAUUUUCAAUAUUACAAUAAAAGGAAGGAUUUCAUUACUGUUAAAACUGACUCUGGAACAUUCAAGACAAAAAAAUAAAGAAAUAAAAACAUAAGAGGAAAUGACUGUGCACUUCUUUUUUGAAGGAUCAACACAC